UACCAGCACCCCGAGUGGUCUGGACGAUUAUUGGGCCUAAAGCAUCCGUAGCCGGUCCUUCAAGUCUUCCGUUAAAUCCACCUGCUUAACAGAUGGGCUGCGGAAGAUACUAUAGGGCUAGGAGGCGGGAGAGGCAAGCGGUACUCAGUGGGUAGGGGUAAAAUCCUCUGAUCCACUGAAGACCACCAGUGGCGAAGGCGGCUUGCCAGAACGCGCUCGACGGUGAGGGAUGAAAGCUGGGGGAGCAAACCGG
rnacentral:rRNA from 1 species